CUGAUGCUACGGUGCUUGAGUGGGCGUGGCCUCGUGAGAUAAUCUGGAAACAACAGCAGUGGACCAAAAUUCCUUCACAACCAUUUAAGAGACUGAUAACGUCAUACAGGAAACCAUUACUUCUCAAGCUGUUGGAUCAUGAAAUGGGCUUCUGCAGUG